rnacentral:rRNA from 1 species
GAUGAACGCUAGCGGCAGGCUUAACACAUGCAAGUCGAGGGGUAGAAGUUGCUUGCAACUUUGAGACCGGCGCACGGGUGCGUAACGCGUAUGCAAUCUACCUUAUACAGAGGGAUAGCCCAGAGAAAUUUGGAUUAAUACCUCAUAGUAUAAUUGAGUGGCAUCAUUUAAUUAUUAAAGUUCCAACGGUAUAAGAUGAGCAUGCGUCCUAUUAGCUAGAUGGUAAGGUAACGGCUUACCAUGGCAACGAUAGGUAGGGUUCCUGAGAGGGAGAUCCCCCACACGGGUACUUAUACACGGACCAGACUCCUACGGGAGGCAGCAGUGAGGAAUAUUGGACAAUGGGCGCAAGCCUGAUCCAGCCAUGCCGCGUGCAGGAAGAAGCAUCUAUGGUGUGUAAACUGCUUUUGUACGGGAAGAAACACCCCUUCGUGAAGGGACUUGACGGUACCGUAAGAAUAAGGAUCGGCUAACUCCGUGCCAGCAGCCGCAGUAA